CGUAACAAGGGUUCCGUAGGUGAACCUGCGGAAGGAUCAUUGCCGAAACCUGCAUGGCAGAACGACCCGCGGACCCGUGCGAGAAAGACACGCGCCGGGGGGGCGGGGGGCUUCGCCCGGCGCCUGCCCGGCCGAGCCGCGGGGAGGGCAUGGCCCAUCCCCGGCGGGCUCAUCGAACAAACACCGGCGCGAGACGCGCCAAGGAACCGGAGUACGGAGAGAACGAGCCCCGGCCAGCCGGAAACGGCGAGCGGGGCGCGUCUCCUCAUGCGAAAAGCGAAAAA
rnacentral:rRNA from 1 species